rnacentral:rRNA from 1 species
CCUACGGGUGGCAGCAGUGAGGAAUAUUGGUCAAUGGACGAGAGUCUGAACCAGCCAAGUAGCGUGAAGGAUGACUGCCCUAUGGGUUGUAAACUUCUUUUAUAAAGGAAUAAAACGAGGCACGUGUGCCUUUUUGCAUGUACUUUAUGAAUAAGGAUCGGCUAACUCCGUGCCAGCAGCCGCGGUAAUACGGAGGAUCCGAGCGUUAUCCGGAUUUAUUGGGUUUAAAGGGAGCGUAGAUGGGUUGUUAAGUCAGUUGUGAAAGGUUGCGGCUCAACCGUAAAAUUGCAAUUGAUACUGGCAGUCUUGAGUACAGUUGAGGGAGGCGGAAUUCGUGGUGUAGCGGUGAAAUGCUUAGAUAUCACGAAGAACCCCGAUUGCGAAGGCAGCUUACUAAACUGUGACUGACAUUGAUGCUCGAAAGUGUGGGUAUCAAACAGGAUUAGAUACCCGAGUAGUC